rnacentral:rRNA from 1 species
GAUGAACGCUGGCGGCGUGCCUAAUACAUGCAAGUCGAGCGAACAGACGAGGAGCUUGCUCCUCUGACGUUAGCGGCGGACGGGUGAGUAACACGUGGAUAACCUACCUAUAAGACUGGGAUAACUUCGGGAAACCGGAGCUAAUACCGGAUAAUAUAUUGAACCGCAUGGUUCAAUAGUGAAAGACGGUUUUGCUGUCACUUAUAGAUGGAUCCGCGCCGCAUUAGCUAGUUGGUAAGGUAACGGCCUACCAAGGCAACGAUGCGUAGCCGACCUGAGAGGGUGAUCGGCCACACUGGAACUGAGCCACGGUCCAGACUCCUACGGGAGGCAGCAGUAGGGAAUCUUCCGCAAUGGGCGAAAGCCUGACGGAGCAACGCCGCGUGAGUGAUGAAGGUCUUCGGAUCGUAAAACUCUGUUAUUAGGGAAGAACAAAUGUGUAAGUAACUAUGCACGUCUUGACGGUACCUAAUCAGAAAGCCACGGCUAACUACGUG